rnacentral:rRNA from 1 species
GCCAGCAGUUCGGCUGGGCACUCUAGUGAGACUGCCGGGGAUAACUCGGGAGGAAGGUGGGAUGACGUCAAAUCAUCAUGCCCUUAUGUUCUGGGCUACACACGUGCUACAAUGGCUGGUACAAAGAGACGCAAGACGGUGACGUGGAGACAAAUCUCAAAAACCAGUCCCAGUUCGGAUUGUAGGCUGCAACUCGCCUACAUGAAGUUGGAGUUGCUAGUAAUCGCGGAUCAGCAUGCCGCGGUGAAUACGUUCCCGGGCCUU